GACGAACGCUGGCGGCGUGCUUAACACAUGCAAGUCGAACGGAAAGGCCCUGCUUGCGGGGUACUCUAGUGGCGAACGGGUGAGUAACACGUAGGUGAUCUGCCCUGCACUUCGGGAUAUGCUUGCAAAACUGGGUCUCAUACCGGGUAUGACCGCACUUUCGUCUGUGUGGUGGAUAGUAUUUUCGGUGUAGGAUGAGCUCGCGGCCUAUCAGCUUGUUUGUGGGGUUAUGGCCUACUAAGGCGGUCGCGGGUAGGCGGCCUGGGUGGGUGUACGGCCCAAAUGGGGAUUGGGAUCGGGCCAGACCCCCACGGGGAGGAAGCGGGGGGAAAUAUGGACAAAGGGCGCGAGGCCUGUGCAGGGACGCCGCGGGGGGGAAGAAGGCCUUCGGGUUGGAAACUCGUUUCGCCAGGGACGAAGCUUUUUGUGACGGUACCGAGAUAAGAAGCACCGGCUAACUACGUG
rnacentral:rRNA from 1 species